CUUAACACAUGCAAGUCGAGGGGCGGCAUGGUCUUAGCUUGCUAAGGCCGAUGGCGACCGGCGCACGGGUGAGUAACACGUAUCCAACCUGCCGUCUACUCUUGGACAGCCUUCUGAAAGGAAGAUUAAUACAAGAUGGCAUCAUGAGUCCGCAUGUUCACAUGAUUAAAGGUAUUCCGGUAGACGAUGGGGAUGCGUUCCAUUAGAUAGUAGGCGGGGUAACGGCCCACCUAGUCUUCGAUGGAUAGGGGUUCUGAGAGGAAGGUCCCCCACAUUGGAACUGAGACACGGUCCAAACUCCUACGGGAGGCAGCAGUGAGGAAUAUUGGUCAAUGGGCGAGAGCCUGAACCAGCCAAGUAGCGUGAAGGAUGACUGCCCUAUGGGUUGUAAACUUCUUUUAUAAAGGAAUAAAGUCGGGUAUGGAUACCCGUUUGCAUGUACUUUAUGAAUAAGGAUCGGCUAACUCCGUGCCAGCAGCCGCGGUAAUACGGAGGAUCCGAGCGUUAUCCGGAUUUAUUGGGUUUAAAGGGAGCGUAGAUGGAUGUUUAAGUCAGUUGUGAAAGUUUGCGGCUCAACCGUAAAAUUGCAGUUGAUACUGGAUAUCUUGAGUGCAGUUGAGGCAGGCGGAAUUCGUGGUGUAGCGGUGAAAUGCUUAGAUAUCACGAAGAACUCCGAUUGCGAAGGCAGCCUGCUAAGCUGCAACUGACAUUGAGGCUCGAAAGUGUGGGUAUCAAACAGGAUUAGAUACCCUGGUAGUCCACACGGUAAACGAUGAAUACUCGCUGUUUGCGAUAUACAGCAAGCGGCCAAGCGAAAGCGUUAAGUAUUCCACCUGGGGAGUACGCCGGCAACGGUGAAACUCAAAGGAAUUGACGGGGGCCCGCACAAGCGGAGGAACAUGUGGUUUAAUUCGAUGAUACGCGAGGAACCUUACCCGGGCUUAAAUUGCAGAUGAAUUACGGUGAAAGCCGUAAGCCGCAAGGCAUCUGUGAAGGUGCUGCAUGGUUGUCGUCAGCUCGUGCCGUGAGGUGUCGGCUUAAGUGCCAUAACGAGCGCAACCCUUGUUGUCAGUUACUAACAGGUUCCGCUGAGGACCCUGACAAGACUGCCAUCGUAAGAUGUGAGGAAGGUGGGGAUGACGUCAAAUCAGCACGGCCCUUACGUCCGGGGCUACACACGUGUUACAAUGGGGGGUACAGAGGGCCGCUACCACGCGAGUGGAUGCCAAUCCCCAAAACCUCUCUCAGUUCGGACUGGAGUCUGCAACCCGACUCCACGAAGCUGGAUUCGCUAGUAAUCACGCAUCAGCCACGGCGCGGUGAAUACGUUCCCGGGCCUUGUACACACCGCCCGUCAAGCCAUGGGAGCCGGGGGUACCUGAAGUGCGUAACCGCGAGGAGCGCCCUAGGGUAAAACUGGUGACUGGGGCUAAGUCGU
rnacentral:rRNA from 1 species